GGAAGGAUCAUUAUCGAAUCGUCAAACACGGGUUGUUGCUGGCCCCCAGACGGGGCAUGUGCACGCUCUGUUUACACAUCCACUCACCCCUGUGCACCCUUUGCGGUUCUGUGGUUGGAAGACCCCGUCUUCCUUCUGUGGCUCUGCGUCUUUACACACACGCCGUAGUGAUGUCUCAUGGAAUGCUUUCGCGUUUAAUGCAAUACAAUACAACUUUCAGCAACGGAUCUCUUGGCUCUCGCAUCGAUGAAGAACGCAGCGAAAUGCGAUAAGUAAUGUGAAUUGCAGAAUUCAGUGAAUCAUCGAAUCUUUGAACGCACCUUGCGCCCCUUGGUUAUUCCUCGGGGCAUGCCUGUUUGAGUAUCAUGAACACCUCAACUCUCAUGGUCUUCCAUGAUGAGCUUGGACUUUGGGGGUUUGCUGGCCCUGCAGCCGGCUCCUCUCAAAUGAAUCAGCUUGCCAGUGUUUGGUGACGUCACGAGUGUGAUAACUAUCUACGCUUGCAGUCGUCUGCCAGGUAACCCUCAGCGAUGAAGGUUCAUUGGGGCUCAUAAACGUCUCUCCCUAGCGAGGACAGCUUUUGAAUGUUCGAUCUCAGAUCAGGUAGGACUACCCGCUGAACUUAAGCAUAUCAAUAAGCGGAGGAAAAGAAACUAACAAGGAUUCCCCUAGUAACUGCGAGUGAAGCGGG
rnacentral:rRNA from 1 species